rnacentral:rRNA from 1 species
UACGUAGGGGGCAAGCGUUGUCCGGAUUUAUUGGGCGUAAAGAGCGUGUAGGCGGCCUUACAGGUCAGCUGUGAAAACUCGAGGCUCAACCUCGAGAGGUCGGUUGAAACCGUAAGGCUAGAGUCCGGAAGAGGCGAGUGGAACGUCCUGGUGUAGCGGUGGAAUGCGCAGAUAUCAGGAAGAACACCAACGGCGAAGGCAGCUCGCUGGGACGGUACUGACGCUGAGACGCGAAAGCGUGGGGAGCGAACAGG